rnacentral:rRNA from 1 species
UACGGAGGGUGCGAGCGUUAUCCGGAUUUACUGGGUUUAAAGGGUGUGUAGGCGGAUAUUUAAGUCAGUGGUGAAAUCUUCAGGCUCAACCUGGAAACUGCCAUUGAUACUAUUUAUCUUGAAUACUGUGGAGGUGAGCGGAAUGUGUCAUGUAGCGGUGAAAUGCAUAGAGAUGACACAGAACACCGAUUGCGAAGGCAGCUCACUACGCAGUUAUUGACGCUGAGGCACGAAAGCGUGGGGAUCAAACAGG